rnacentral:misc_RNA from 1 species
UUUAGACAACUCUGCAACUUUAGCUCUCUGUUGACCAGGAUAUCCUAAAUACAAAAUGUAAGUGGUGAGGUUACAGGUAAACAAAAAUGAAGCCAAACAAUUAGCUACUGCUAUGAUGCUGCACGUUUGCUGCUUCUACCCCCUCCCUCUCACCUGAACCAAAAGAAGUUACCGUUAUGGUGGGGGUGGGGGAAGGGGGUGUAUAGAUGAGAAAAAGAGAGAGAGAGAGGUAAUGGUGUUGUUAAAUCAUUAAAAUUUCCUACUCUGUACUAUUAGAUAGUUUGGAAGUUUAGAGGAAUUACCAGCAAAAAUAACAAGGCCAUCGGAAGCCACCCUUGCCAAUUCUGGAAGAGUCCUGUUCAGGUAUUUUGGA